rnacentral:rRNA from 1 species
UACGUAGGGUCCGAGCGUUGUCCGGAAUUAUUGGGCGUAAAGAGCUCGUAGGCGGUUUGUCGCGUCGGCCGUGAAAACUUGGGGCUUAACCCCAAGCUUGCGGUCGAUACGGGCAGACUUGAGUUCGGCAGGGGAGACUGGAAUUCCUGGUGUAGCGGUGAAAUGCGCAGAUAUCAGGAGGAACACCGGUGGCGAAGGCGGAUCUCUGGGCCUUACCUGACGCUCAGGCACGAAAGCUAGGGGAGCGAACAGG